CAGGGGCAGAUUCGGCAAUUUCUGGUCAUGACCUCUACUUGAGUUCCCAACAAUAACACUCCAUAAAUUCAUCAUUAUAACCAUUAAACUACCAUUAAAUCCAACAUUGAUCCUCAAAUUAGCAACAACAACCCAAGUGUGGGAAUACAAAGAGCCCACUAUCACAUUUUACAUCCAUAUCAAGCUAACCAAAUGCAUGCAUGAACUUAACAAGGUAAGAUAGCUUCCAAACUUCAAGUUUCCAAGAGUGGAUCAUCACUUACUUUGGGUUGAUGUUCAGCAGAAUUUUCGGCCCUCUAUUACCCCAGAAAAACCAUGAUUUCCAGCCCUUGUUUGCAGCUCAAAAUGCUCCUCAAGUGUCAAGCUAGGUGUGGUGCAAGUUUGGUUGA
rnacentral:lncRNA from 1 species